rnacentral:pre_miRNA from 1 species
AGCUUUCUGAAUCCGUAUCGAGAUUUCGUCAGACAUCAACCCACCAGGGAUGAUGUGACUUUCAAGAUAAGUGAAGUG